UACGUAGGUGGCAAGCGUUGUCCGGAUUUACUGGGCGUAAAGGGCGUGCAGGCGGUUUGUUAAGUGCAGGGUGAAAGCUCCCGGCUCAACUGGGAGAGGUCCUUGCAUACUGGCAAACUCGAGGGAGGCAGAGGAAAGUGGAAUUCCCGGUGUAGUGGUGAUAUGCGUAGAUAUCGGGAGGAACACCUGUGGCGAAGGCGGCUUUCUGGGCCUUACCUGACGCUGAGGCGCGAAAGCUAGGGGAGCGAACAGG
rnacentral:rRNA from 1 species